AGUGAACGCUGGCGGCGUGCUUAAGACAUGCAAGUCGAACGGCAGUCUUCGGACUGUAGUGGCGCACGGGUGAGUAACGCGUAACUGACCUACCCCAAAGUCGCGGAUAACGAUUCGAAGGAAUCGCUAAUACGUGAUGUGCUGUCAGAUUGUGUUCUGCCAGUAAAGAUUGAUUGCUUUGGGAUGGGGUUGCGUUCCAUCAGCUAGUUGGUGGGGUAAAGGCCCACCAAGGCGACGACGGAUAGCCGGCCUGAGAGGGUGGCCGACCACAGGAGCACUGAGACACGGGUCCCACUCCUACGGGAGGCAGCAGUUAGGAAUCUUCCACAAUGGGCGAAAGCCUGAUGGAGCGACGCCGCGUGAGGGAUGAAGGUCUUCGGAUCGUAAACCUCUGAAUCAGGGACGAAAGACACUUCGGUGGGAUGACGGUACCUGAGUAAUAGCACCGGCUAACUCCGUGCCAGCCGCCGCAGUAAAAC
rnacentral:rRNA from 1 species